rnacentral:rRNA from 1 species
CAGGGCUUGACAUGCACGGUGCAGCCGUAGAGAUACGGUGUCCUUUGGGGUCGUGCACAGGUGGUGCAUGGUUGUCGUCAGCUCGUGCCGUGAGAUGUUGGGUUAAGUCCCGCAACGAGCGCAACCCUCGUCCUGUAUUGCCAGCAGCAUCUUCGGAUGGCUGGGGACUUGCGGGAGACUGCCGGGGUCAACUCGGAGGAAGGUGGGGAUGACGUCAAAUCAUCAUGCCCCUUAUGUCCUGGGCUGCACGCAUGCUACAAUGGCCGGUACAGAGGGCUGCGAUACCGUGAGGUGGAGCGAAUCCCGUAAAGCCGGUCUCAGUUCGGAUCGGGGUCUGCAACUCGACCCCGUGAAGUCGGAGUCGCUAGUAAUCGCAGAUCAGCAACGCUGCGGUGAAUA